AGGCCAAUCUUAUCUGUCUCCAUGACAAGUAGUAUAGAAUCAUGAGUCAAGAAUUCAUGAAGAGAUUGACCAUAUUCACACCAUCACUAAGUUCAAGUUUCAAUUGAUAUUAAGAAUCAAAGAUAUGAUGAGCUACACAUUUUCAACAUAUAAAUCAAAGAAGACAACAAACAAUCACACUACUAACAAGAAUAAAGAGUGGACUUUGAAACUUCAUUUUUAAAGAAAAAUUAGGCAAAAAGAAAGCCAAA
rnacentral:lncRNA from 1 species